UACGGAGGGGGCAAGCGUUGUUCGGAAUUACUGGGCGUAAAGGGCGCGCAGGCGGCUGCUCAAGUCAGGCGUGAAAGGCCUGGGCUCAACCCGGGAAUUGCGCUUGAGACUGGGCUGGCUUGAGUGCGGGAGAGGAUGGUGGAAUUCCCAGUGUAGAGGUGAAAUGCGUAGAUAUCGGAAGGAACAUCAGUGGCGAAAGCGACUUCCUGGACCAAUACUGACGCUCAUGUGCGAAAGCGUGGGGAGCAAACAGG
rnacentral:rRNA from 1 species